ACCUGUCUAAUACAAUAAAGUAUACUUGACUUCCAAUCAAGAAAUUUGUGAAAAACAAGACAGGUA
rnacentral:tRNA from 1 species